rnacentral:pre_miRNA from 1 species
GAAACUGGGCUAAAGGUGAGGGGUGCUAUCUGUGAUUGAGGGACAUGGUUAAUGGAAUUGUCUCACACAGAAAUCGCACCCGUCACCUUGGCCUGCUUA